AUUCCAGCUCCAAUAGCGUAUAUUAAAGUUGUUGCAGUUAAAAAGCUCGUAGUUGGAUUUCUGGCGGGAUGAACACGCCCUCAGCUGAGUGUGCAUGAGCGUCUCACCAUCCUUCUGUUAACCCUUAAGGUUUUAACGACCUUCUGGGGGCUCAGAUAUUUUACCUUGAGAAAAUUAGAGUGUUUCAGGCAGGCUAGCGCCGGGAUACAUUAGCAUGGAAUAAUGGAAUAGGACUUUUUCCCCUUCUGUUGGUCUGAGGGGUUCGAGUAAUGAUUAACAGGGACAGUCAGGGGCACUCGUAUUCCGCCGAGAUAGGUGAAAUUCUCAGACCAGCGGAAGACGAACCACUGCGAAAGCAUUUGCCAGGGAUGUUUUCAUCA
rnacentral:rRNA from 1 species